GGCUUAUAUUAUUUGUUGCUACAUAGCAAAUUGCCCCAAAUGUAGUGGCUUAAAACAACAGACAUUUAUUCUCCCAGUUUCUGUGGGUCUGGAAUCUGGGAGCAGCUUAGCUGGUUCUGGUCCAGGGUCUCUUACUGGGUUGUGGUGACAUGGUUGCUGGCUGGGCUGGAGGGCCUGCUUCCGCGGUGGUUUCAACACACGGCCACUGACAGGAGGCCCUGGUCCCGUCCCAUGUGGACUCUCCGUGGUGCUGCUUGAGCAUCCUCACAGCUCAGAUUGAGCGAUGAGAGGGAGGGAGGAAGAGAGGGAGAAUACACAAGGCGGGAGGCGCAGGGCCUCUUUGUUUCGUAACACCUGAAGCACACGCAGUCACUGCCACUCUCUUCAUCAGAAGCAGCCAGCUCCCACACUCAGCAGUGGGAAGUGAGCUCCACCUCGCAAAAGGGGAAGUCAAAGAAUUUGUGGACAUGCUUUAAAGCCACUGUCACACGAGACUAACACUUGUAAUGAAAAACUGGGGAAGUAUUAAGAAAGUGUACUUCAGGAAAAAGCUGUCCGUGGAACUGCCACAUGCAGGCCCACUCUGACACCUUGGUUGUGUGCUGUUCCCGCCUUUUUUUUUCUGGCCCUGGUGGUUUUUCAUGGACUUGUAGUUAAACUGCAUAUGUAAUUUUCCUUCUUUUUUCACUUAGUAUCAUGACAUAAGCAUUUUACAUGCUUAUAAACUCUAUUAAAAUCCAUUUUUUAGUUUUCUGUUUUAAGAGACCAGGUCUCCCUCUGUCACCCAGACUGGAAUGCAGUGGUGUAAUCGGAGAUCGCCGUAACCUCGACGUCCUUGGCUCAAGGGAUCCUCCUGCCCCAGCCUCCCGAAUAGCUGGGAUUAGAUAUACCACCACACGCAGCUAAUUUUUUUUGGUUUGGUGUUGUUUGUUUGUGACUGAGUUUCGCUCUGUUGUCCAGGCUGGAGUGUAGUGGCUCAAUCUUGGCUCACUGCAACCUCUGCCUCCCGGAUUCAAGCAAUUUUCCUGCCUCAGCCUCCCAAGUAGCUGGGACUACAUGUGCAUGCCAGCACGCCCAGCUAAUUUUUGUAUUUUUAGUAGAGACGGGGUUUCACUUUGUUGGUCAGGGUGGUCUCAAACUCCGGACCUCAAGUGAUCUGCCUGCCUUUACCUCUCAAAGCGCUGGGACUACAGGCAUGAGCCAUGGCGCCCAGCCUGUUUGUUUUUAAGAGACAAGGUCUGUUUAUGUUAUCCAGGCUGGUCUUGAACUCCUGACCUCAAGCAGUCCUCCCACCUCAGCCUCUCAAAGUGCUGGGAUUACAGGCAUGAGCCACUAUGCCUGGGCUAGUUUUUUUUAAUUAAACUUUUUGUUUUGAGAUAAUCAUAGCUGCACAUGCAGUUGUAAUAAAUAAUACAAAGAGAUUCCAUGUACACUUUACCCAGUUUCCUCCAAUGGUAACAUUUUGCAAAACUAUAAUAAAAUAUCACCACCAGGAUCCUAACAUGGUCAAAAUACAGAGCAGUUCCAUCACCAGGAUCCCUCCUGUCACCCUUUUAAGGCCACCCUUAUACCCCCACCCCUACAGACCCCAUCCCUAACCACUGGCAACUACUAAUCUUCUCGGCUUCUACCAUUUUAUUAUUUCAAGAACACAUAUAAAUGGAAGCAUAUGAUGUGUAACUUUAGGGGACUGGUUUAAUUCUCUGGAGAUUAGCCCAGGUUGUUUGACGCAUCAGGAGUUCAUUCUUUGCCAUUCUUGAGUGGUAUUCAAAGGUAUGGGUCGACCACGGUUUGUUUAACCAUUUCCACGUUGAAGGACAUCUAGGCUGACUCCAGAUUUUGGCUGUUCCAGAUAAAGCUGCUAUGAACAUUUGUGUUCAUGUGUUCAAGCUUUUAUGUGAACAGUCUUCAUUGUUCUGGGAUAAGUCCACAGGAGUGCCACGGUGGGGUCGUAUGGGAGUUGCAUAUUUCGUUAUGAAAAUCAUAUUUAAUAGCAGCUUAAUUCUUCAUCAAGAGACUAGAUCUUUUUUUUUUUUUUUUUGAGACAGAGUCUUGCUCUGUCGCCCAGGCUGGAGCACAAUGGCAUGAUCUCGGCUCACUGCAACCUCCGCCUCCCAGGUUCAAGCGAUUCUCCUGCCUCAGCCUCCCGAGUGGCUGGGAUUACAGGCGCCCGCCACCAUGCCCGGCUAAUUUGUGUAUUUUUAGUAAAGACGGGGUUUCACCGUGUUGGCUAGGCUGGUCUCGAACUCCUGACCUCGGGUGAUCCGCCCACCUCGGCCUCCCAAAGUGCUGGGAUUACAGGCGUGAGCCACUGCGCCUGGCCGAGACUAGAUCAUAAUUUAAGUAUUAUUCCUUUGUCAUUGGAUAUAUAGUAUUUCUAAUUAAUGGGCAAUUAUAAGUGAUUCUGUACUUUGUCUUUAAAAUUAUUUUUGUGUUUCUGAUGAUUUCUUUAGGGUGGGUUCCCAUGAGUAGAGUUGCUCCAUGGUGGGAUGGGAGACUUCAAGGGGCAAGUUGCCAAACUAGACAUUUCUAAUUCUGGUAACAGGCUGCCAUGUGCGCGUUAUUGAGUUGAUGUGCUCACAAUGCCCCGGGAGGUGAUGGGGGCUUUGCAGGCCCCUGUGGGAGCUGUCAGGGAGCCAGCGAGGCCUCAGCUGGCUUGGUUGGCACUUCCCUGACAAUCCCUCCAUUGUGCCCAUCAGUGCUGGAUGCCCAAAGCCUGGCACGGAGUUUCUUUAACCGCCUUUGGGAAGUCGCCGGCCAGUGGCAGAAGCAGGUGCCAUUGGCUGCCCGGGCCUCACAGCGGCAGUGGCUGGUCUCCAUCCACGCCAUCCGGAACACUCGCCGCAAGAUGGAGGACCGGCACGUGUCCCUCCCUUCCUUCAACCAGCUCUUCGGCUUGUUUGACCCUGUGAACCGCGCCUACUUUGCUGUGUUUGAUGGUCACGGAGGCGUGGAUGCUGCGAGGUACGCCGCUGUCCACGUGCACACCAACGCUGCGCGCCAGCCAGAGCUGCCCACAGACCCUGCGGGAGCCCUCAGAGAAGCCUUCCGGCGCACCGACCAGAUGUUUCUCAGGAAAGCCAAGCGAGAGGCAGGGUCUCAGCAGGCUACCGACAUCCUCUGGGAACAAUCCUUCCUCGGGAGUUAUAGCCA
rnacentral:sRNA from 1 species